UGGUACCACAAUGGAAACUGAGACAAGGUAUUGACUAUUGAAAAUUGAUGCCCCCAUUGGAAACAUUGGUUGCUUGUAGAUGUGGGUGCUUGUAGCUUAUCCACAGAUUUAGCUUUAAGGUUCUUAAUCAAAAUAACUCCAAACAAGGAAGGAGAACUCUUGUGCAAACCCUAUGUAUUUAAGAAAAAUAAAACCAUGCUCAGUUCUUCUCAGUCCUGUAAAGGAACAGGCCAGAAAUGUCCACACCGCGCUUCGCUCCAGCAACUACCCCGCUCCGCUCCCUCGCUCUGCUCCCUCCAUCUGCGUCAUACACAGUUGGCUCGCUCCAUUCUGCUCACACUCUGAUUCUGGACUGCUCAGUCCCUGACCACCUUCCAGCGCCUCCUCAAGACACAUCUGUUCAGACAGCAUCUAUAAACCUCAA